rnacentral:tRNA from 1 species
GGGCGGUUAGCUCAGUUGGCACGAGCGCUUGCUUCACACGCAAGAGGUCACUGGUUCAAGCCCAGUACCGCCCACCG